rnacentral:rRNA from 1 species
UAGGGAAUUUUCGUCAAUGGGCGCAAGCCUGAACGAGCGAUGCCGCGUGAGUGAAGAAGGCCUCGGUCGUAAAGCUCUGUUGCGGGGGAAAAAAGGCAGCAUCAGGAAAUGGGUGCUGACUGAUGGUGCCCCGCCAGAAAGUCACGGCUAACUACGUGCC